rnacentral:rRNA from 1 species
CCUACGGGUGGCAGCAGUGAGGAAUAUUGGUCAAUGGGCGUAAGCCUGAACCAGCCAAGUCGCGUGAGGGAUGACGGUUCUAUGGAUUGUAAACCUCUUUUGUCAGGGAAUAAAGGAUGGCACGUGUCGUGUUUUGUAAGUACCUGAUGAAUAAGGAUCGGCUAACUCCGUGCCAGCAGCCGCGGUAAUACGGAGGAUUCGAGCGUUAUCCGGAUUUAUUGGGUUUAAAGGGUGCGUAGGCGGCCGUUUAAGUCAGGGGUGAAAGUUUGUGGCUCAACCAUUGAAGUGCCGUUGAAACUGGUAUGCUUGAGUGUGUGUGAGGCAGGCGGAAUGCGUGGUGUAGCGGUGAAAUGCAUAGAUAUCACGCAGAACCCCGAUUGCGAAGGCAGCAUGCCAGGCCAUGACUGACGCUGAUGCACGAAAGCGUGGGGAUCAAACAGGAUUAGAUACCCGAGUAGUC